UACGUAGGGACCAAGCGUUGUUCGGAUUUACUGGGCGUAAAGGGCGCGUAGGCGGCAAUUCAAGUCAGUUGUGGAAAUCUCCGAGCUUAACUCGGAACGGUCAACUGAUACUGUUUUGCUAGAGUACAGAAGGGGCAAUCGGAAUUCUUGGUGUAGCGGUGAAAUGCGUAGAUAUCAGGAGGAACACCUGUGGUGUAGACGGCUUUCUGGACCAUAGCUGACGCUGAGACACGAAAGCGUGGGUAGCAAACAGG
rnacentral:rRNA from 1 species